rnacentral:rRNA from 1 species
UAAUACGAAGGGUGCAAGCGUUAAUCGGAAUUACUGGGCGUAAAGCGUGCGUAGAUGGUGCGUUAAGUCGGAUGUGAAAGCCCCGGGCUCAACCUGGGAACUGCAUCCGAUACUGGCGGACUAGAGUGUGAUAGAGGAUGGCGGAAUUCCCGGUGUAGCGGUGAAAUGCGUAGAGAUCGGGAGGAACAUCCGUGGCGAAGGCGGCCAUCUGGAUCAACACUGACGUUGAGGCACGAAAGCGUGGGGAGCAAACAGG